UUCUUCUUUCUUGUUCAGAGUUCUUCUCCCUUCCUCCUCUCUCUCUCUCUCGAUGACCACCGUCAUGGGUCUCAAGAGACCCACGACCACCGUCUCUUGAGACCCCGGCCGUGGGUCUCUUGGUAGGGCUCGAGAGAAGAUCCACCAAUCCGCCAGGUUUGCCCAGCCCAAGUCCAUCUUCUUCGGCGUGUUCAUCAAUUCCGCUCAUGGACGGGACCGGCUUCAGCUCCAUGAAGGUGCAUCCGGGUCUUUUGAGACUCAGCCGUGGGUCUCUUGGCAGAGCUUGAGAGCCCUCGUUCAUCUGCCCAGUGAGAAUCAAGGUCCAUGAGUUGUGUCAGAAAUCGAAGGCCAAGCUGCUGAACCAGCUCAAGGAUCUCAAGGCGGAUCUGCCCUCCUCCGCGUCACCAAGGUCACCGGUGGUGCACCCAACAAGCUCUUCAAGAUGUAUUCUCUUUCUCUCUCUGGUUUUAUUUUCGAAAAGCAAAGUCUUUGUUUAUGAUAUUGCUGUUGGUAUUUUUUGGGGGAUUUCCUGGGUAAUACAGAAAGGUGGUGAGGCUGUCGAUUGCGUAAGUGUUGACAGUGAUAUCAUAGAAGCAGGAGGUUCUGAGGGAAGUUUACAAGAAUACUUCGAGUUUAAUUCAUGUAUUUUUUUUAUGCUUUGUAACUUUAAGCUUUACUGGUUUCAUUUCUUCUUCUUCUUCUUUCCAUAUUUUUUUUCUUCCCUUUGGUUGUGGUAACUCUAAAUGGAACUGGCAUUGAGGCUUUUGGAUCAAAGUUUUGAAGGAUUGCUCAAGAUAUUGAA